GUGCAUGCUUUGCCAGCACAUAUACUAAAAUUGGAACCAUACUGAGAAGAUUAGCAUGGUCCCUACUCAAGGAUAACAGCUGGAUGCUGAAAGGGAAAGAGGAGCUUU
rnacentral:snRNA from 1 species